AAAAAAAAAAAAAAAAAAUCAGUUAUAAGGUCAGCAUUUUCUCCUGAACAAGUUAAAGAAAGUUCAACAAUAGAUAUGAUGAUGGAUUCCUUCAUCAAUUAUCAUUUUCUUUUUCAAUCGACUAUAGAAUAUCUUUUUUUUAUUUUUUCCCUUCUUUACUUUCAUUUGUUCCUCUACCAGGAAUUUGCAAGUGGCAAUAAGAUAUUAUACAAGCAUGUUCAUAUAUCCUCAUAUUGUACAUGGUGACAUUAAUUUCUCAUAUGAAUUAAUUGUUUAAUAAUAAAAAAAAUAAAUCUAGAUAAAGAAUAUUAUGCUCUGUUACACCUAUGCACAAAUUUGUUAUAAGUUUUCGAGCAGUAAUGAAACAAAUAUAAAGAAAAAGGUUG
rnacentral:misc_RNA from 1 species